rnacentral:rRNA from 1 species
UGGGGAAUAUUGGACAAUGGGCGAAAGCCUGAUCCAGCCAUGCCGCGUGUGUGAAGAAGGUCUUCGGAUUGUAAAGCACUUUAAGUUGGGAGGAAGGGCAUUAACCUAAUACGUUAGUGUUUUGACGUUACCGACAGAAUAAGCACCGGCUAGCUCUGUGCCAGCAGCCGCGGUAAUACAGAGGGUGCAAGCGUUAAUCGGAAUUACUGGGCGUAAAGCGCGCGUAGGUGGUUUGUUAAGUUGGAUGUGAAAUCCCCGGGCUCAACCUGGGAACUGCAUUCAAAACUGACUGACUAGAGUAUGGUAGAGGGUGGUGGAAUUUCCUGUGUAGCGGUGAAAUGCGUAGAUAUAGGAAGGAACACCAGUGGCGAAGGCGACCACCUGGACUAAUACUGACACUGAGGUGCGAAAGCGUGGGGAGCAAACA